rnacentral:rRNA from 1 species
UACGUAGGGUGCGAGCGUUGUCCGGAAUUAUUGGGCGUAAAGGGCUCGUAGGCGGUUUGUCGCGUCGGGGAGUGAAAACCAUGAGCUUAACUCAUGGCUUGCUUUCGAUACGGGCAGACUAGAGGUAUGCAGGGGAGAACGGAAUUCCUGGUGUAGCGGUGAAAUGCGCAGAUAUCAGGAAGAACACCCGUGGCUAAGGCGGUUCUCUAGUACGGUACUGACGCUGAGACGCGAAAGCGUGGGGAGCGAACAGG